rnacentral:piRNA from 1 species
GAACCACGUUACUGUAAGAUCAUUAC